UACGUAGGGCGCAAGCGUUGCCCGGAAUCAUUGGGCGUAAAGAGCUCGUAGGUGGUCUGUUACGUCUGCUGUGAAAUCCUAGGGCUUAACCCUGGGCCUGCAGUGGAUACGGGCAGACUAGAGGUAGGUAGGGGAGAAUGGAAUUCCCGGUGUAGCGGUGAAAUGCGCAGAUAUCGGGAGGAACACCGGUGGCGAAGGCGGUUCUCUGGGCCUUACCUGACACUGAGGAGCGAAAGCGUGGGGAGCGAACAGG
rnacentral:rRNA from 1 species